rnacentral:rRNA from 1 species
GACGAACGCUGGCGGCGUGCUUAACACAUGCAAGUCGAACGGAAAGGCCCUGCUUUUGUGGGGUGCUCGAGUGGCGAACGGGUGAGUAACACGUGAGUAACCUGCCCUUGACUUUGGGAUAACUUCAGGAAACUGGGGCUAAUACCGGAUAGGAGCUCCUGCUGCAUGGUGGGGGUUGGAAAGUUUCGGCGGUUGGGGAUGGACUCGCGGCUUAUCAGCUUGUUGGUGGGGUAGUGGCUUACCAAGGCUUUGACGGGUAGCCGGCCUGAGAGGGUGACCGGCCACAUUGGGACUGAGAUACGGCCCAGACUCCUACGGGAGGCAGCAGUGGGGAAUAUUGCACAAUGGGCGGAAGCCUGAUGCAGCAACGCCGCGUGCGGGAUGACGGCCUUCGGGUUGUAAACCGCUUUCGCCUGUGACGAAGCGUGAGUGACGGUAAUGGGUAAAGAAGCACCGGCUAACUACGUGCCAGCAGCCGCGGUGAUACGUAGGGUGCGAGCGUUGUCCGGAUUUAUUGGGCGUAAAGGGCUCGUAGGUGGUUGAUCGCGUCGGAAGUGUAAUCUUGGGGCUUAACCCUGAGCGUGCUUUCGAUACGGGUUGACUUGAGGAAGGUAGGGGAGAAUGGAAUUCCUGGUGGAGCGGUGGAAUGCGCAGAUAUCAGGAGGAACACCAGUGGCGAAGGCGGUUCUCUGGGCCUUUCCUGACGCUGAGGAGCGAAAGCGUGGGGAGCGAACAGGCUUAGAUACCCUGGUAGUCCACGCUGUAAACGGUGGGUACUAGGUGUGGGGUCCAUUCCACGGGUUCCGUGCCGUAGCUAACGCUUUAAGUACCCUGCCUGGGGAGUACGGCCGCAAGGCUAAAACUCAAAGGAAUUGACGGGGCCCCGCACAAGCGGCGGAGCAUGCGGAUUAAUUCGAUGCAACGCGUAGAACCUUACCUGGGUUUGACAUGGAUCGGGAGUGCUCAGAGAUGGGUGUGCCUCUUUUGGGGUCGGUUCACAGGUGGUGCAUGGCUGUCGUCAGCUCGUGUCGUGAGAUGUUGGGUUAAGUCCCGCAACGAGCGCAACCCUUGUUCACUGUUGCCAGCACGUUAUGGUGGGGACUCAGUGGAGACCGCCGGGGUCAACUCGGAGGAAGGUGGGGAUGACGUCAAGUCAUCAUGCCCCUUAUGUCCAGGGCUUCACGCAUGCUACAAUGGCUGGUACAGGGAGUGGCGAGCCUGUGAGGGUGAGCGAAUCUCGGAAAGCCGGUCUCAGUUCGGAUUGGGGUCUGCAACUCGACCUCAUGAAGUCGGAGUCGCUAGUAAUCGCAGAUCAGCAACGCUGCGGUGAAUACGUUCCCGGG